UACGUAGGGGGCUAGCGUUGUCCGGAAUCAUUGGGCGUAAAGAGCGUGUAGGCGGUCCGGUAAGUCCGCUGUGAAAGUCGGGGGCUCAACCCUCGAAUGCCGGUGGAUACUGUCGGGCUUGAGUACGGAAGAGGCGAGUGGAAUUCCUGGUGUAGCGGUGAAAUGCGCAGAUAUCAGGAGGAACACCGGUGGCGAAGGCGGGUCUCUGGGCCGAUACUGACGCUGAGGAGCGAAAGCGUGGGGAGCGAACAGG
rnacentral:rRNA from 1 species